CAACGUAUCCAACGUAAACUAACGCGAACCCCCCUUUGGUCGUGGGGCCGUUGCAGGCAGCUGCUUCGGUCAAAAAGUUAAUUAGGCUGGCUGCUAAUGUGUGCUCUGUCGAUGGAGCCAUCUGGAAAGUCCAGAUGCCUGGAGCAUCAGUCUUGGCCCGGACCAAGUUCUUCGUGAACGUGUCCGAGCUUUGCCCACUCCAAAGUGUAUCUAACCAUCGGUUAUUGAAACCCUUUAUUAACCCUGUAAACUUUUGUACUGAACUUUGGUAGCGCUGCGGCAGUCCUUGUUGGCUUCGGUCACGGAUCGCGUUAACGCAGUGUUUACUAAUUUAUUACGUAAAUAAGAA
rnacentral:misc_RNA from 1 species